rnacentral:rRNA from 1 species
GACGAACGCUGGCGGCGUGCCUAAUACAUGCAAGUUGAGCGCUGAAGGUUGGUACUUGUACCAACUGGAUGAGCAGCGAACGGGUGAGUAACGCGUGGGGAAUCUGCCUUUGAGCGGGGGACAACAUUUGGAAACGAAUGCUAAUACCGCAUAAAAACUUUAAACACAAGUUUUAAGUUUGAAAGAUGCAAUUGCAUCACUCAAAGAUGAUCCCGCGUUGUAUUAGCUAGUUGGUGAGGUAAAGGCUCACCAAGGCGAUGAUACAUAGCCGACCUGAGAGGGUGAUCGGCCCGAUUGGGAGUGAGACACGGCCCAAACUCCUACGGGAGGCAGCAGUAGGGAAUCUUCGGCAAUGGACGAAAGUCUGACCGAGCAACGCCGCGUGAGUGAAGAAGGUUUUCGGAUCGUAAAACUCUGUUGGUAGAGAAGAACGUUGGUGAGAGUGGAAAGCUCAUCAAGUGACGGUAACUACCCAGAAAGGGACGGCUAACUACGUG